UUUUUUUUUGUUAAAAGUUACCAUGUCUAUUGCACAUGAAUUGCCAUGAUGUUUACAUUGAAGUUGUCAUGAUAUGUUUCAACUAUUUUCUUCUACAUAUAAAAGUAAGUUUUGACAUAUUAUAAAAUGGCGAAUUAAGAAACUAGACUUGCCAUGAACCAUAAACUAAAAUUCUCAUUAUACAUGCACUUAAAUUUGCCAUGGUUCAUACAAAAAAUAUUUUUUAUGAUCAAAGUACUGGAAUUGCCAUCAUCAAAGAACUAAUUGUCAUGCUCUACAAACUAAAAUUGCCACAUGGCAACUUUAGCUUAAGCAUUAUGGCAACUACAGUGUAAACAUCAUGACAACUUUUGGAAAAGAAAAAAUCGUCCAAACAUAUCAACAUGGGUCUAGUUUUGAAGAUCUCGUCGAGACAGAUUUAAUUGUGAAAAUGGAUUUUUUAAUUCGAUUUUUUAAUUAGGAGAUAAAACAUUUUUAAGCCGAAAACCAAAAAAAUUCAUGGUGAUGUCAUCUAAUUCAUAUGUGGCAAAAUGAGUGGUGAUGAAGGUGUGUGGGUGAUGCGCAAAAUGUCACACGUGUGGACGUUAGUUUUCGUAGAAUAAUCAAAGAAACUUAAGCCAUUUUCUCUUCUGAAGUUUCACCGGUAUCAAUAUUUGGCACAAUUAGUUCGGUGCAGAAGAAACCCUAGCACGCUUGGUGCAGGCCUCGCGUCUAGUCUCGGAGCUAAGAGGGUCCUUAGCGUCUAGAACCUACCAGAGUUUUCCGGGGUUAAAUGUAGGACCCAAACAACAGGAGAAAGAAAGCAAACAAAAGAAUUCCCGGCAGCCUGAGAAUUUCUUUUGCUUGACGAGAAUUUUCUUUUGAUAAAAAAAAUUGGCGCGAAGUACCAUUGUGACUUUGGCAACCUUGGUGUGCAGGUUUCACGCGUCCUCAUGGAUUUUAAAGAGCAUCGCACUCACACAUGUUGGUCAAGGAAGAAGUCGUGUUUAUGCAACGAAAGCAACCAUCAUAUAAAAUCAAUUAAUGGCUUUAUGCACACCCUGCCUAAUGAGACCGCUAAUUUGAGUUGUGGGAAGCUCACUUAGCAAACCACGGCAAGAAUAGAUUAGCCAAAUUGUCACGCGUGCCAAAGCUGAUGGAGUCAAUCUAGAACUAGAAUCAAAGACAGGCAGCAGUGUUUUACUUGCAGGGGACGGCCGACCUGCAUCCCUGUGUGCUGAACAAGAACUGGAGGGCCUCAGGUCAACCGCCACAAUAAAAUCAAGAAGCUUCAACGGAUCAUUUUUGUAUUUUGUAACCUUUUUCUUAUGAAUUUUCGUUGAUUUCCUAGUGUUUUUCUUUGCGGUCAGUAGACUCAAAUGAAUUGAUUUACCUAAACUUUAAAAAGGAGGACAUGUUGGCUGCUGAGUCUACACGUUAGAGUGUCUACAACUGCGAUAGGCAAAUCCGACCCCUCAAACGCGAGCGAACGCGUCCGGGGUGUGUCCGCGGGGCAUGCCUUAUAUUUUGUCUUCCACGCUCACGUCACUUAUAUCCGAAACCUUAAAACCAUGCAAUUCAUGCAACGCUAGGUAAAACACAUGAUCAAAGUGCAGUUUAUCGGAUCAGCCGGACAAAAGGAACAUAAUUCAUCAUAAUUCAAGGCGGACAGUAGAAAUCCAUACUACAAACUACUUAUGAAAAAUAGAUAAAAUAUAAACAGAAUGAGGAAGGGCGAGGAAACCACCAUUUCCUCGCCGGCCCUUUCCCCUUCUGGUCCCCCUUCCCUUCUGGUCAUCGGCGCGGCUGUGCCCCUCCUCCGUGUAGUCGUCGGCGUGCGGAGCCGCGUCGUCGUCGGAACUGGAGGUGGAGCCGUCUGUCAUGUCCGAGUCGGAGCUGCACCUCAUGCCCGAUAGCCUGCGGAGCAGGCGGUCCUGCUCCUUCGCAUGGCGGGUCGCCUUCGCCUUCGCUGAUGAAGCUAUGUACCUAGGGUAGGGUCAUGGACCUGUCCAAACUACCCUACCCAAGGACAUCUCUAGAAGAAACCACCUGUCAAUCGACUCAGAAGUGUUCCACUCGACACACUCGACCAUGAAGCCAACCACUCGACCGUGAAGCCAACCACUCGACGGCCGGGAGAAUAAAGUCACUCUGCAUGUAAACGGUCGGUCAUUGAGUAGCAUUUAUGGUCAUCAUAGCACUUUACUUGUGGCGUUACCAGUAACGCCAGAUCUUAAUGUACCUUAAACCCUACAUAACUGAGGGCCGGAGGGGUCUGGCGAACUCUAUAUAAGCCACCCCCCUCCUCAGUGUAGAGGGUUCGCACCCUUGUAACUCAUACGCAUAUAAUCCAGUCGACCGCCUCCGGGCUCCGAGACGUAGAGCUGUUACUUCCUCCGACAAGGGCCUGAACUCGUAAAUCCCUUGCGUAUACAACUACUCCAUAGCUAGGAUCUUGCCUCUCCAUACCUACCCCCCUACACUACUGUCAGACUUAGAACCACAACAGUUGGCGCCUACCGUGGGGCAGGUGUCUUAGCAACUUAUUGGAGAAGUUGCGAUUUUUUCCGAUCUCCUUCAUCAUGGUUUCAGGCGGAGCUCUGGUUGAGGCCCGCGAGAUCCGUCUCGGCGCGCUCACGUUCAUCGCUGACGACUCCGCUUGGCUUCAGGAGGCCCCGCUCGACAUCGACGCGAUCCCUGUCCGCGGGGCGACGCACUUUCGUGCGUGCGUCCGCGGCGUCCUCCUGCGGCAACUGUCGACCCAGUAUCGGUCGACCCCUGUGUCGUCCUCCCUCCCUGUUUCCCGCUGGCGCAAGCGCUCCGGUCGAUCGAGGCUUCAACGGUGGGUGAGGCACGUGGUGGCUCGCCAGUCGGCCACCCCCCAAGUCGCGGCAAUCGAGCCCGACGAAUCUCUCUACGGCAUGUUCGACCUGUCGACUGGCUCCGCAGAGACUGCAUCCGAGUGCGACAGCAGUGAUCCAGCGGCGGAGGUUCUGAUGGUCGAUGGACCACACAGUCCUCCCGGUUUUCCCCGCACUGACGGAGGCGACGGCGGAGGCGAACCGUCGCAUGCCCAUGAAGAGUAUCUCCUCGAGCCCCUCACUUCGCUGCAGAGGGAAGAUCUUCGCCGCCGGAACAUGGAUGCGCUGCACACUCCUAUCGUUGGAGAAACCUCCGAGGCUCCACUACUAGGGAAAAGCCUAGCAGCAGCGCGGGUUUUAGGCCUAUCAGUAGCGCGGGCAGGAGCGCUACUGAUAAGGCGCUACAGCUAAUGCUUAGCAAUAGCGCGCCUGGAUCCACGCUACAACUAAAUUGACUUAGUAGUAGCGCUUCCUCAGGACAACGCUACUGGUAAUUAGUAGUAGCGCUUCUCCUUUCCCGUGGUACUAAUAUUAUUUAGUAUUUUAUUUCUUUUUUAUUUCAUGUUGUAUUCAUACACCUUUACAUAAGUUUUCAUACAACAGGAAUUUAGAGAUUGUUUUUACAUCAUAAUGAGUUAUUACAUCACGGGGUGAAAGAACCGUGGACUAGUUUCAAGUGGAUGUCCAUCCACUUGAAACUAAUCCGCGGUUCUUUCACCCAAUGAUAUAAUAAUAAUAUCAUCAUCAUCAUAUCAUUAACAACUUAUCAUCAUAAUACAUCAUUGUCAUAUAACACCUCCUCAAGAUCAUCGUUUUCAUCAAUGACAUCACAUAGCAAUUGGUCACUAGUCGUAAUCACAAGUACUCCUCAUUAUCAACUCUAACACAUCACCACAUAAUAAACAUAUUGUACCUCAUAGGACCUAUUACAUUCGAUUAAGACCUACUACAUUUUCUAAGGUAAAAUAGCAAAAAACAAGAUAGCCCCUGACUCUCCAUUAUGGAGAAUGGAGAUUAGCCUGUCUCCAAUUCUUGCCUUUCGCUGAAUGUUACUUUCAAGAACCUCCUUGCGAAUGCCCAUACAUUUCUUCCAUUCUUUGAUGAACAUGUGUUCACGGGUUUUAGAAAUCCGAUAUGCACAGGUGAGCUCCGUAGAUUUACCUGGCAGUAUGUUCAGAACUGAGAGGCGACCAUGCAGAGACAUCAGAUGAGGCACACAAUCCAUCGGGAGUUUCUGUUGAAAAACAUAAUAAUAACUUCGUAGUUAGCAAUGAUGUACUAGUUUUAGAAGUAUGCAAAAGAUGCACGGAUGUCGUAAUAGUAAAAAAUCUUACCAGGGUGUCUCGAGAGAAGUUACCGUGGUUCAAUACAUGCACUAGUGGCACGUAUUCACCAUAAUUUGGAGGAGUUUGAUAAUAGUUAUUGUAAUCCUCAAGAAGAGUACAAAAUGCGAUCAGAUGAUUUUUCUCCUUAUACGUUAAUUCGGUGCCAUCGGUAUAGUGGGUUUUAUCUACCAUCUUCCGCACAGUCUUUGAAGAAUCAAAAUAAGCUGUCAAUGGAAAUAAGUUAUCAACUAUUUUGAAAUAAACAAUAUAAAUAGUUAAUAACUAUAUUUGAGAAACUCACAUAGCGGUACAAUCGGAAGUGUAUCAACAAGGACCCAAAUGUCCAUAUUGUCUUGCUCGAUGGCAGGAUCACCAAGAUCCAUGGUGACAAUCAUACCCUCAUAAAAACCAUACAUUUUGCAAAGUGCUUCCCAAUUUUGGCAACCAAAAUGGGUUACGCUCUGAGCAUUGCACAGAUUUACUUCAAAAUCCAUAUCAUGAUGGGUCCUUAGGUGUAUUUUCUUUGUUUCGAAAUUUUCAUGGUCUUCAAAACCCAUCCUCUCCAAGACAUAGCGUCUUGCAUGGCAUGGGAUAAGCUAGUGGAAUUGUAAAAUAUGAAAAUUAGACGUUGAAAUAGUUGAAGUCAUGCUUAAUUACGAAAAAAACACUUGUCAUUGUUGCGUACCGUUUCACAAUCGAAGGUCUCCUCGAGCUUAAUACUGAAGCGCCGAUCUUUGUCCAGCUAAACGAACCUGUCGCACAUACCUCGAUCGUCGUGGCACCAGCUACACUCCCCAGGAGACUGUCGUCGUCCGAGUACGACAUUUCGUACGUUCAUAAUUCAAAGAUUAAACUUGUACAUAUUCUAGCACAAGUCAUGCCAGAAUUCACGAAAAAAUCUGGCAUGACCUUUGCUAAAAAAGGACAUAUCGAGCGCCUGAAAUUUACCAGAACGGAAAUUAAUCAACACUCCGGCAAAACAUAGGCCACUCGGAGAUGUAAACUGAACAUGAACGGCCACUUGGGCAACAACAUAUCCUAUUUGAGCAACAACACAAGAUAUACAAGGAUAUUUGUCUGGUCUCACCUCGAUGUCGGAGGGGGUCGUUGACUGGGAUGAUGGCGGGGAUGUCGGAGGGGGUCGGUGACGGGGACGACGGCGGGGAUGUCGGAGGGGGUCGGUGACGGGGACGACGGUGGUCACCUGAAACCAUAUAAGUUAUCACUAAUACAUCCCGAAUAAUUGCUUAAACUAAAAAAUAACAACAAAUAUGACAUGUUCAACUAGUUUUAUUAAUUCAACUAGUUCUUACUAAAUAUAAACUUACUAUAAAUAGAAAAAACUAGUUCUUUCUAAAAAUAAAGUAGUUCAACUAGUUAUAUUAAUUAUCUUACUAAAAAUACAUUAGUUCUAUUAAUUCAACUACUUCAACUAGUUUAUUAAUUUACUUACUAAACUAGUUAUGAACCCUAAAUUAACAUCUACUACUACUAAAAAUCUAGUACUAACUAAAUUAACAUCUAGUACUAGCUAUGAACCCUAAAUUAACAUCUACAACUACUAAAUCUAGUACUAACUAGUGGCAGGGGUGGGGGCGAUGGAGAGGUAGCUAGGGGCGGCGAGGUCGAGGGCGGUGGGAGGAGGGCUGCCGGCAAAGGAGGGAGGAGGGGCGGCCGCAGGCGGAGGGAGGAGGGCGGCGGCGGAGAAGGGAGGGGCGGCCAUAGGCGGAGGGAGGAUGUGCGAGGAGGAGGGAGGAGGGACGGAAGGAGGGGAGUACCUCGGCGGCGGACGGACGAAGGCGGCGGCGGCGGCGACGCACGACGACGGUUAUCGGCAAGGGGGGCGAGAGUGAGAGUGUGAGUGAGGGACGGUCGUGUGCGUGGGGAUAAGGUAGGGAUAGUUGUAGCGCGUUUGCUGAAACGCGCUACAGAUAAUCUGAAUAGCAGUAGCGCGUUGCACAUAAACCGCUACUGCUAAGUGUAACUAUAUAAAAAAUACGUCAAUGCAAAAAUACAUUGGCCAUCAAUGAUCUUUUUGUGUACAAUCUGAAUUGUCAAUAUGAGUCCUAUCCGGUAGGAACCGGAGAGGACUCAUAUUGCGGCCACAAAUUUUACACAUAGAGUUCAGUGAAGACUAACUGGUUGUGGUAGUUUCAGAAAUAACAUAUUUAAGGUGGUAAACACCCUGUUCACGGAGCGAGGUGGGACUAAACUUGGGGGCUGAUCUUAGCAGUAGCGGUUUUCCCAUAAGCGCGUUGCUGCUAACUUCUAUAGCAGUAGCACUGUUCAAUAAAGUGCUCUACUGCUAUAACUAGCGGGGGGCGAGGUCAUGGCAAUUAUAGAGCAGCGCGGUUUGUGGUGGACGCGCUACUGCUAUUUUCCUGUCAGCAGCGCGUUUCUCUAACAUGCGCUGCUGCUAAAUAGCAGUAGCGUGGUAUUUUAGGGAGUGCUGCUGGUAAGAUUCUGUGUAUAGGCUUUUCCCUAGUAGUGCUCGUGCCUUAGAGGACGUGCGCUUGGCCAACUUGGCUGAGCGCACUCGACUGGAGAACCUCCAGUGAGCACUCGACGAGCGUGCGCGGCAACGGGUUCCAGAAUCCAGUCGACGUAAACUCUUUCCACCACCGACUCAGGUAUAUCGAACUCCGAUUCGGAAUUUAGCAGCUGCAGCCCGUAUAGCAGAGUCGAUUCAGCCUUCCCAGUCAGAGGCUGGCAGAGGCUUGUUAUAGAUUAGAGAUUUACUCCGGGCAGCAGGAGAUCAAAAUUCAGCUGUAUCGCAGUCGCGGAAUAGGAUUCACAACAGAUCCGUCGCUGCAAAUACAGUCCAGUCGGCCCACAUCCCAAGAUCGCCCCUGAGGCGUGAGGAACGUGGAGACCGACGUGAUCAGUACAAGGACCAUGAGCAGUAUGAUCACCAAUUCGAUCGCGAUGAUCGACGUCGGGUGCCCACCCCUCCCCCAAGAGGUGGAUCGUACGUGCCUCGAUAGCAGGAUGAUAGACGCCAUCACAGUGUUGGGCGAAGGAUUCCAGUCGACCCCAGGGAACCAGGCUUUGAUGCGAGAUCCAUUAUUGUUCAAGGUUUGGUCAACAGGAACAGAGCUCGCCGAGAAGGUCAUGAUAGAGAUGUACCCACCAGCAGCAGAGUACACGUCUCAGGACCAGAGUGUUUCAGCAGAGCCAUCAGGGCCACGAUGAUUCCUACCAACUUCAGGUUGGCGACUGGAGUCAGUAAGUUCACUGGUGAGUCCAAGCCUGACACUUGGCUUGAGGACUACCGAGUGGCUGUUCAGAUUGGCGGCGGCAAUGAUGAAGUGGCCAUGAAACACCUGCCUCUUAUGUUGGAGGGCUCGGCCAGAGCAUGGUUGAAUCAGUUGGCACCCAGCAGCAUUUACACUUGGGAAGAUCUUGCCCGAGUGUUUGUCAGAACAUUUGAAGGAACUUGCAAGCGACCAGCAGGGUUAACAAAGCUGCAAUCUUGUGUGUAGAAGUCGAAUGGAACUUUGAGAGAUUACAUCCAGAGAUGGAUCACGUUGCAUCACACGAUAGAGAAUGUAUCUGAUCACCAGGCAGUCUGUGCCUUCAAGGAAGGCGUUAAGUACAGAGAGCUAAACCUGAAAUUCGGUCGAACCGGAGACAUGUCUCUGAGUUGAAUGAUGGAAAUCGCCACCAAGUAUGCCAAUGGUGAGGAAGAGGAUCGGCUCCGGAGUGGCAAACACAAGUCAGUCGCCCACGAAACCGGAGGAGGGAACUCCAGUCGGAAGCAGAAGCGGAAAGCCGAGCCAGCUGCUCCUGGAGAAGCCUUGGCUGUGACUCAAGGAAAGUUUAAAGGGAAGCCCAAAGGGUCUUGGAACCCUAAGAAGGUGAAGGACAAGGAAGGAAAUGACGUGUUGGAUUUGCCAUGCCACAUCCACACGAAGAAAGAUGAGGAGGGUAAGCUCAUUUACCCGAAACAUACCACUCGACAGUGUCGGCUCUUGAUCCAGCAAUUCCAGGGGAAACAGCCCAAAGAUAAGGAAAAGGAGUCGGACAAAGUUGAGGACAAAGAAGAUAGUGAUGAUGGAUAUCCUCAGGUCAAUUCCACCCUGAUGAUUUUUGCUGAUGUUGAAAGCAAAAGUCGAUUGAAAGUUAUCAAUCAAGAAGUGAAUAUGGUUGCUCCGGCGACACCCAGUUAUCUGAAAUGGUCUCAGACUGCCAUCACAUUCGACCAGUCUGAUCACCCGACACACAUAGCCACCCCUGGGAGGCAAGCUCUGGUGGUCGACCCAGUCGUCGAAGGCACUCGACUGACUAAAGUUUUGAUGGAUGGUGGCAGUGGCCGAAAUAUACUAUAUGCAGAGACGUUGAAAGGGAUGGGUAUUCUGAUGUCCAGGCUCAGUACCAACAACAUGAGCUUCCAUGGAGUCAUUCCUGGAAAGAAGGCUGAGUCACUCGGUCAAAUUGCUCUUGAUGUGGUUUUCGGUGAUUCCAAGAAUUACCGCAAAGAAAAGUUGACAUUUGAAGUUGUGGAUUUCCAGAGUGCUUAUCACGCUAUUUUGGGCAGGCCAGCUUAUGCACGUUUUAUGGCUCGACCAUGUUAUGUGUACCUCAAAUUGAAGACGUCUGGCCCCAAAGGUGUGAUCACUAUUACUGGCAAUCGGAAGAAUGCGGAAGAGUGCUUUCAGAAAGGCUCAAAGAUCGCCGAUGCUCAGAUGGCAGCGGUAGAGUGGCAGGAAUACCAGAAAACUAUAGACCCAAGUGAUUUGUUGUGAGCCAAGAAGCCCGCUACAGAAUCAGCAUUUCAGUCGUCUGGGGAGACCAAACCGAUUCACAUUCACCCGACCGACCCCAGUGUUGCUCCGACUCAUAUCUCUACAACGCUCGACUCCAAAUAGGAAGAAGCGCUCAUCCAGUUCCUCCGUGAGAACUGGGACAUCUUCGCAUGGAAACCUUCUGACAUGCCGGGUGUUCCCAGGGGGCUAGCUGAGCACCGUCUACGAGUCGAAUCAAAAUUGAAACCUGUCAAAGAACAUCUUCGGCGGUCCACCGUCCAGAAAAGAAAGGCCAUUGGCGAGGAGGUGGCUCGGCUCUUAGCAGCGGAGUUUAUCCGAGAAAUUUAUCACUCCGAGUGGCUCGCCAAUGUUGUCAUGGUCCCCAAGAAGGAUAAGUCACUUCGCAUGUGCAUUGACUUCAAACAUAUCAAUCAGGCCUGCCCGAAAGAUCACUUUCCUCUCCCCCGCAUCGACCAAAUAGUCGACUCGACUGCGGGAUGUGAGCACCUGUCUUUCUUAGACGCCUAUUCCGGGUACCAUCAGAUCCGUCUGUAUGGACCCGAUGAGAUCAAAACAGCUUUCAUCACUCCAUUCGGGUGCUUCUGUUAUGUCACCAUGCCAUUCGGCCUCAAGAAUGCCGGAGCCAUGUUCAUGAGGAUGAUUCAGAAGUGUUUGCUCACUCAAAUCAGUCGGAAUGUGGAAGCUUACAUGGAUGAUAUUGUGGUCAAGUCACGAAAAGGUUCUGACCUGCUGACUGACCUUGCAGAGACAUUUUCCAACCUCAGGAGGUAUGAUAUCAAGCUUAAUCCAUCAAAGUGCACAUUCGGAGUUCCUGGCGGUAAGUUACUCGGUUUUCUCGUUUCCGAAUGAGGAAUCGACGCCAAUCCAGAAAAAGUUGGUACUAUACUCCGAAUGAAACGUCCUGUGCGUGUGCACGAUGUCCAGAAGCUUACUGGUUGCUUGGCCGCUUUAAGUCGAUUCAUCUCUCGUCUCGGUGAAAAGGCAUUGCCUCUUUACCGACUGAUGAAGAAGUCAGACAAGUUCGAGUGGACUCCUGAAGCUAACGCAGUGUUUGCAGAGCUAAAAGCCCUGCUCUCCACCCAGUCGGUGCUUGCUACCCCGAUCAGCAAAGAGCCUUUGUUGCUUUACAUUGCAGCCACGGGAGAAGUCGUCAGUACAGUACUUACGAUCGAGCGGGAAGAAGAAGGAAAAGCCUUUAAAGUUCAGCGCCCAGUAUAUUAUAUUUCUGAAGUUUUGACCCCAUCAAAGCAAAGAUACCCUCAUUAUCAGAAGCUUGUAUAUGGGAUUUAUAUGACCACGAAGAAGGUUGCUCAUUACUUCUCUGACCAUUCCAUUAUAGUCGUCAGCGACGCUCCAUUGUCAGAGAUUCUGCACAACAAAGAUGCAACUGGUCGAGUGGCAAAAUAGGCGAUCGAACUCCUUCCCCUAGAUAUCAAGUUUGAGGCAAAGAAAGCCAUCAAGUCCCAAGCAAUAGCAGAUUUCAUCGCCGAGUGGAUGGAACAGCAACUGCCGACUCAAGUUCACUCGGAGCACUGGACCAUGUUCUUUGAUGGAUCUAAGAUGCUGAAUGGUUCCGGUGUUGGGGUAGUGUUGGUGUCCCCCAAGGAGAUAAGCUCAGAUAUGUGCUCCAGAUUCACUUUGAUUCCUCCAAUAACGAAGCAGAGUACGAAGCACUUUUGUAUGGGUUGCGUAUGGCCAUUUUGCUCGGCGUCCGUCACCUCAUGGUCUAUGGCGACUCAGAUUUGGUGGUGAACCAAGUGAUGAAGGAGUGGGACGUUAGAAGCCCGGCCAUGACUGGUUACUGCAACGCAGUAAGAAAGCUAGAGAAGAAAUUUGAGGGGUUAGAACUUCAUCAUAUACCCCGACUAAAAAACCAAGCGGCUGAUGAUUUGGCAAACAUAGGUUCUAAGAGAGAAGCCAUUCCCAGUAAUGUGUUUUUGGAACACAUCCACACACCAUCAGUUCAAGAGGAUCCUUUUACCGAAGAAGCCCCGCAGCCAAAAAGUGCCACGGAUCCGACUGAAGUUGAGAUCCCAACUGUCGUGGUUCUAAGUCUGACAGUAGAAUAGGGGGUAGGUAUGGAGAGGCAAGAUCCUAGCUAUGGAGCAGUUGUGCACACAAGUGUUUUACGAGUUCAGUCCCUUCUCGGAGGAAGUAACAGCCUUACGUCUCGGAGCCCGGAGGCGGUCGACUGGAUUAUAUGUGUGAGAGUUACAGGGGUGCGAACCCUUCUGCCAGUGGAGAGGGGUGGCUUAUAUAGAGGAUGCCAGGACCCCAACCUACCCACGUAGCAGAGGGUUAAAGUACAUUAAGGCCUGGCAUUACUGGUAACGCCUUACAUAAAGUGUCAUCAUGGCCAUAAAGACUACUUAAUUACAAACCGUUUUGAUACAGAGUAGAUCCUGAACUCCUGGUGGUCCAGUGAGUCUUCAUGGUCGAGUGUCUUCAAGUUCGUCGAGUGUCUUCCAGUCCGUCGAGUGGAAUCUCUCUUGGUCGACUGGGAGACGGUCUCUUCUGUAGAUGUCCUUGGGGAGGGUACCUGGGUUAGGUACAUGACCCUACCCUAGGUACAUGACUUCAUCAUUAGCCCCCGAAUGGAUCGAGGUUUGAGUGAGGAAGGAGUUGGCAAUCUUUCCGACCUGCUUUCUGGUGCUGUAAAGGUGUUUUGCUCUGGAUCAAUGACUUUCAAGUGAGGAUGUCAACUUUCUUUCAGUCGCCUUGAUCUAUUCUUUAUAUCUGUCGAGUGAACUUUUACGGACUUGGAGAUUUCCGAGCGACGGAUCGCGGGAGAUCUUCCGUCUGACAAGUUAUCCUGCGGUUAGCGGAUUUAGUGGGAUCUGAAUUUUGGGAAGCGCGCAAAGCGGAGAAGACCGCGGUACUCGGAUGGGAUAAGGCAGGGACGCCCCGAUUCCCGCGCCGCCUUUUUCGCCACGUAUCGCCUGCGCGACUGUUUCGGGAUUUGACAGGAUUGCCUGGGCCUACCUGUCAGCCACUCAGAAAUGUCUCCAUAUAAGGAAUCGGGCGGAGGUUUUUGAACAGUGCCUCCUCAUUUUCCCCUCCUUCGUCUCCAGAUUCAUCUGUUGCGCUCGCCAACUGCCCAGCGCCGCUGCUCCGUUCCAGCCUCGUCGGCGACAAUGGUGAAGGAGAAGACGGCGACUUUGGAGCGGGCGAAGAAGACGAUGGCGCAGGCGAAGGGGAGAGCGCCCAGUCGUGGUGGAUCCUCGUCGCGAUCCCGCCUGCCGCAAGGUUGGAUCCAAGGGGAUUGGAUCCGCUCGACCAUCACCCAGAAGGACCUCGACGACCUAGCCAACGAGGGGCUGAUCGAGCACGGAGCGGCGAGGCUUCCGGGGGCAGAGUGGCAACCGCAGCCUCAGGGGGGUGAGUGUGUCCUCCUAGCGACUCAUGUCGAUUGUGGAUUUUCUUUGCCACCUCACCUUUUCUUUAGGGGGUUUCUGAACUUCUUCAGGGCUCAGCUCCACCACUUCACUCCCAAUUCCAUUGCCUAUCUCUCCACUUUCGUUUCUCUGUGCGAAAACUUCUUGGGUUGUCGGCCGCUUUGGGGCCUCUUCAAACACAUAUUCACUUGUCGGUCUCAGACGGUCAAAAAGGCUAACCCGAAUGACGAGAGAACCCAAGUAAUCCAGAUGUGCGGGGUCUUGGGGUCCAGAUGAGGAGCAAGAGUGCUUUUCCAGCUAUGACCCUUCCUGAGUCAGUUAGAGGGUGGCAGUCGACCUGGUUCUACUGCCAAGACCAGUCGACUGGGCUCCCUCCAUUUUCUAUGAGUCGAGUGAACAAGCCGUCUUCUCUGAAAGUAGUUCCGGAGGAGAAGGCCCAGGUUAGAAUGUUGAUGGAGCGGGUCGUCCAACUCAUUCGCGAUGGUGUGACGGGCAUGGAUCUUCUGGAGGUUUUCCUUCAUCGGUGUAUCCAACCACUCCAGUACCGGGGCCACCCGAUGUGGUUGUACUCUGGUACUGAAGACACCACUCGGAUUCACCCAGAAGAGGUCGAUGAUGUCACGCUGGAGAGGUGGAUGACCGCCAUCACAGGGAACAAGGACAACCCUCAUGGGGCCAAGGAUCCCACCACUCGACCAAUCUUAUGAAGCGGACAAGGUAUGACCACUUAUCUCCGACCGUAAUCAUAUUCCGUCUAUUCUGUUUUGCUGCAGGUCAGUCGAUCGACUUUUGUCUUGUUUGUUGUUUUUCAGGUCACCACUGAGUUGUAUUCAAUGCCCAACGGGGCACAAGCGCAGACUGAGGAGGAGGAAGGAAGUGGAGGUGAAAGUCAGGAGGAGUGGGAAUCGGAUGGCGAUGAGGGUGAUGAAGAUGCAGGCUCCGACGAGGAGGAGGAGGAGGAAGUAGUGCCUCCUUGUUCUGAAAGAAGGUCCAAGCUUGUUCAUGACCCUGCUGUCGAGCACGGCAAGGGGGUCGCGUCUGUUAUGCAAUCGACCAAACGUCCUCAGACGACCUCUCCGGCGCCGACUGAGAAAGCGUCAAAGCAAUCUCGAGUGGUGCCGUCGAAACCGGCGAAGGCUUUACCAAAGAUGAAGAUGGUGAUUCCAACUAUUUCUGGGUAAUGACAUAACUUGUGUCCUCUUGUUUCUCAUGUAUUCAUUCUUGGUCGACUCGUUAGCUGACCGACUGAUUUCUGAAACUGCAGCGCUGCCACUUCUGAUACCUCGGCCAGACCUGAAGAUCAGGAAAUGGAGGAUGCCGUUACUUCUAACCCUGGUAUGACCUUUGCAGUUUCGUUUUCAGUCGGUGGGAUCUUCAUUUUUAACUUUGACUCUUUUCUGCAGCUCCAUCCAACAUCGUCAUUGAUUUUCCUGAUGAUGAUGAAGACGAGGAACCACUGAGGCAAAGGAGGAAUAGGAGAGCGACUGUUGGCAAGGCAGCUUAGGCCGUGUCAGCACCUGAGACGUUAGUCGCGGAGGGGGACAGCGUCACUCGGCCAACCGUAUCCUUUGCGGUGCCGCUGACGAGUGCUCGCCUCUGUCGUCGGGUGCUGAUCAGCCUUCGCUUUUCUCCACCCACCACAUCCCUAAAGACUAAGCAAUCGCUGCUAAAGAAGCUCUACGCCAGGCGGGGGUUAUGAUGGAGCGAGUGAAGGCGAUCCGAGACGCCAGUCAAGCAGCUUAUGACGCCAGUUCAGCCCUUCAGAGCAAUGUUCAGGUUGGUCGAUCACUGCCUGUUCUGUUAGGAUAUGUUAUCUGAAAACUUUCCUUUCUGAAAAUCUUAGUAUCUGUUGUACACCCACUGGGUGUUUCGGUUGAGAAUCUGGGUUGGUGGGGGCACGCUAAGUGCACCCACUGGGUGUAGUCCCCAAGGCUAUGGUCAACUGCUGGCAGUGGACUAUAGUCUUUAUGUCUUGAGUUUUUCUUAUUUCUCGGUACUGUCUUCAUUCGAUCUGGUCGAAUGGAAUCAUAAACCGGUGGGGGCACGCUGAGUGCACCCACUGGGUGUAGUCCCCGAGACUGUGGUCGACUGCUGGCGGUCGACUAUAAUCUCAAGAACACACACACUUUUUUUUGGGUCGACUGAUCGACUCUGAGUCUAGCUGAUAGAACUAGUGGGGGCACGCUGAAUGCACCCACUGGGUGUAGUCCCCGAGACUACAGUUGAAUGUUUAGAUUCAGCUGUAGUCUUAGAAAUACUACAAUUUUUCUCUUAGUCACUCGGAAGUGACCUAUCUUUGACGUCUGUCGAUUGGUUUUUUGCAAAAAUCUUGCGAGCUUUCAGCUCGCUACACUGAAUUGGAGAACAAGCAUAUCCAACUCAAACUUGAUCUGAAACUUGUCCAGGAGAACUUCACGAAGGCGAAGGAGGAGGCAAAAGGUAUGUUUGGUGAGAAUCUUGACGACUGACUUUACUUUUUGCCUGUCCCCGAGUCUGAUCUUAUUGUAAUUUUGCAGAUAAACUGAGGGAAGCUCUGAAGAAGAAGGACCUUGACCUCGCCGAGGCGCAAAAAGCGGCUUCGGACAAGACCAAACUUGCAGAAGAGAAGUUGGCUUCGGUCAGCAAACUUGAAGAGGAGAAUGCCACUCUGAAAGCUGCUCUCGACGCGGCCAACAAGGAGGUCACCCAACAGAAUCACGAGAAGAUAGCCCUGAGUGACAAAGUUGGCGAACUGGCAGGAAAGAAGAAUGACUUGGAGGUUUAUCUGGGAGGACUCGCCAAGAAGCUAUUCCUCAUGCUCGAAGGUAACCCCUUAUAUCCGGCUGGUAAUUACUGACUUGUUGUAGGAACAUUAGCUUAUCCUUGAAUCGUGUCCACAGAAUUCUGCCAAAACUUUGAAGAAGAGACUAGUCGAGUGGAGACUGGCUUGGACCCCAUCAACUCUCCAGUGAAAGAUGAAGCUGCUAUGAACGUGCUCUGCCUCGAGUCUCGCGUUGCUGCAGUGGUCGACUACCUUGCAAGGCUGAAAGCUGCAACGUCACGCAUCAAUACAUCACUCUGCCCAGAAGAAACACUUCAGAACGACCUCGAGUCUCUGAUGACUCAACUGAACGAAGUUCCAAGUCGACUGCAAGAAUGGAAAAAGUCUUCUGCCAGGUGUGGUGCCGAUGUUGCUCUGUCCUUAGUCCACGUCCACUGCAAGGAAGCGAGAGAAGACAAGCUGGCGUCUCUCAAGGUGGCCAAUACCAGGAAGCAUGACUUUCGUUCUUUCAUGGAGACCUUCAUUGCUGCAGCCACUCGGAUCGCAGACGGGAUCGAUCUGGACGAGUUUGUUGCGCCUUCCAGCCUCUGCGGGAGGGGUAAAAAACUUCUAUGCUUGAUGCUUUGAAUUUGCCUCGGAAUGCCGAGUGAUUUUUGUAACCGAUAAACCUUAACAGGCUUGCCGCCUGAGCACUUCUGGACCCGUAGGACGUUAUCUGAACUUGGUUUGUCGCUGAAAUAUGUUUUCUUCUGCUUUCGAGCAACCAUCUUUCUUGGGCUGGAGUAUAUACUAGUGACUAUGAUGCUCUUUUGCAGGUAGGGACGAAGCACAAAUUGCAAUCGACUUGUACUCAUCAUGUUUAGGCGAGUGCUGGGCUGCCGCUAAGCCUCUCGAGUAGGAGAUUUGUUCUCCACUCGACAGGAUUUUUGAAACUUAGGCGAGCACUGGGCUGCAGCUAAGCCCCCGAGUGAGAGUUUGCUCUUCACUCGGUAGGAUUUUAGAAACUUAGGCGAGCACUGGGCUGCAGCUAAGCCCCCGAGUGGGAGGUUUGCUCUCCACUCGGUAGGAUUUUCGAAACUUAGGCGAGCACUGGGCUGCAGCUAAGCCCCCGAGUGAGAGUUUGCUCUUCACUCGGUAGGAUUUUAGAAACUUAGGCGAGCACUGGGCUGCAGCUAAGCCCCCGAGUGGGAGGUUUGCUCUUCACUCGGUAGGAUCUUAGAAACUUAGGCGAGCACUGGGCUGCAGCUAAGCCCCCGAGUGGGAGGUUUGCUCUCCACUCUGUAGGAUUUUAGAAACUUUAGGCGAGCACUGGGCUGCAGCUAAGCCCCCGUGUGGGAGGUUUGCUCUCCACUCAGUAAGAUUUUCGUGGCAUAGUUUUGGAGGGGAAGGUAGCAGUCAACCUGCGUUCGUCCUCCUUGCGGAGCGCAGUUGUAUUUGUGGCGUAGCUCGGAAGGAGAAGGCAGGAGUCGACCUGCACCUCAUCCUCUUCGCGGAGCGCACGUUGUAUUUUAUACUUAGGCGAACACUAGGUUGCAGCUAAGCCUCCGAGUGGAAGGCUGGCUUACCACUCGGUAGGAUUUUGUUGAAACUUAGGCGAGUACUUGGACUGCAGCUAAGCCCCCGAGUGGAAGGCUGGCUUACCACUCGGUAGGGUUUUCAAAAGCUUAGGCGAGCACUGGGCUGCAGCUAAGCCUCCGAGUGGAAGGCUGGCUUACCACUUGGUAGGAUUUUGUUGAAACUUAGGCCAGUACUUGGACUGCAGCUAAGCCUCCGAGUGGAAGGCUGGCUUGCCACUCGGUAGGAUUUUGUUUAAACUUAGGCGAAACAGAUUCGCAGCUAAGCCUCCGAGUGGAAGGCUGGCUCACCACUCGGUAGGAUUUUUUUUACAAACUUAGGCAAAACGGAUUCGCGGUUAAGCCACCCACUGGGGGACUGAUUUAUAAGAACAAAAACAAUAACAAUCACUGGGGGAAAUUAUGAAACUCUUGUCUUUGAUAAAUAAACUACAGAAGUACUUUUAUUACAACUCAUCCGAGUGAAAACUUAAGUAUAAAAGGGGCGGAGCAGCUCCGCGUUCCAUGCUCGGGGCUCGUCAAUCUGGUGCUCGACGUUGUAAAGGCGGUAUGAUCCAUUGUGGAGAACCUUGGUGACGAUGAAGGGACCUUCCCAAGUAGGAGCAAGCUUGAGUGGUUUCUGCGGAUCCACUCGGAGAACUAAAUCUCCCUGCUGGAAAGCUCGACUCUUCACGUUUCUGGCAUAGAAGCAACGCAAGUCCUGCUGGUAAAUGGUCGAUCGGAACAAAGCCAUCUCUCUUUCUUCUUCUAGAAGGUCGACCGCGUCCUGUCGGGCUUGCUCUGCUUUAGCUUCAGUGUAGAGUUCGACUCGAGGUGCAUUGUGAAGCAGGUCACUCGGCAAGACUGCUUCAGCUCCGUAGACCAAGAAGAACAGAGUCCUCCCAGUCGACCGGUUUGGUGUGGUCCUUAAUCCCCAAAGCACCGACGGAAGUUCGUUGACCCAUGCACCAGCUGCGUGCUUGAGGUCGCGCAUCAGUCAGGAUUUCAACCCUUUGAGAAUUAAGCCAUUUGCUCAUUCUGCUUGUCCAUUCGACUGGGGGUGAGCGACUGAAGCAUAGUCGACUCGUGUACCCUGAGAUGUGCAGAAGGCUCUGAAUUCCUCGGAGUCGAAGUUUGUCCCAUUUUCUGUGAUGAUGCUGUGUGGAACUCCAUAUCUGAAUAUCAACUCCCUGAUGAAGCUGACGGCGGUGCCGGCAUCCAGAUUCUUGAUGGGUUUAGCCUCGAUCCACUUGGUGAACUUGUCGACUUCUACCAGCACAUGGGUGUAGCCGCUUCUGCCUGUUCUCAGUGGUCCAACCAUAUCCAAUCCCCAUACAGCGAAAGGCCAGACGAGUGGAAUGGUCUUCAAGGCUGAGGCGGGUUUGUGCGACAUAUUGGAGUAGAAUUGACAUCCUUCACACUUGUCGACUAUCUCUUUUGCCAUCUCAUUUGCUCUGGGCCAGUAAAAGCCCGCUCGGUAUGCUUUAGCCACGAUGGUCCGAGAGGACGCAUGAUGGCCACAGGUCCCCGAGUGGAUGUCGUUGAGAAUCAUUCGACCUUCUUCCGGUGUUAUGCAUUUCUGGCUGACCCCAGUCGCACUUUCUCUGUACAACUGUCCCCUCAUGACGGUAAAGGCUUUGGAUCAGCGGACGAUCUCUCGAGCCUCUUCUUCAUUCUCGGGGAGCUCUUUCCUCAGAAUAUAGGCGAUAUAGGGCACUGUCCAGUCGGGAGUGAUGACCAGAACUUCCAUGAUUAAGUCGACCACAGCUGGGACCUCGACUUUAGUUGGAUCUGUGGUGCUUUUUGGCUACGGGGCUUCCUCGGUGAAAGGAUCUUCUUGAACCGACGGCGUGUGAACAUGCUCCAAAAACACGCCACUCGGAAUGGCUUCUCUUUUGGAACCUAUCUUCGCCAAGUCAUCGGUUGCUUGAUUUUUCAGUCGGGGAAUGUGAUGGAGCUCUAAUCCCUCAAAUUUCUUCUCCAGCUUUCUGACUGCAUUGCAGUAACCAGUCAUGGCUGGGCUUCUGACGUCCCACUCCUUCAUCACUUGGUUGACCACCAAAUCCGAGUCAUCGUAGACCAUGAGGUGAUGGACGCCGAGUGAAAUGGCCAUACGCAACCCGUACAAGAGUGCUUCGUAUUCUGCCUCAUUGUUGGAGGAAUCAAAGUGAACCUGGAGUACGUAUCUGAGCUUGUCUCCUCGGGGGGAAACCAACACUACCCCGGCACCGGAACCAUUCAGCAUUUUGGAGCCAUCGAAUAACAUAGUCCAGUGCUCCGAGUGAACUUGAGUCGGAAGCUGCUGUUCAGUUCACUCGGCGAGGAAAUCUGCUAUUGCUUGGGACUUGAUAGCUUUCUUUGCCUCAAAUCUGAUAUCUAGGGGAAGAAGUUCAAUCGCCCAUUUUGCCACUUGUGCAGAAUCUCUAAUAAGGGGGCGUAGCUGACGACUGUGAUGAUAUGGUCAGAGAAGUAGUGAGCAACUUUCUUCGUGGUCAUAUAAAUCCCAUAUACAAGCUUCUGAUAAUGAGAGUAUCAUUGCUUGGAUGGGGUCAGGACUUCGGAAACGUAAUAUACUGGGCGCUGAACUUUGAAGGCUUUCCCUUCUUCUUCCCGCUCGACCGUAAGUACAGUACUGAUGACUUGUGCUGUGGCUGCAAUGUAAAGCAGCAAAGGCUCUUUGUUGAUUGGGGCAACGAGCACCGGGUGGGUGGAAAGCAGAGUUUUUAGCUCUACAAACGCUGCGUCAGCUUCAGGAGUCCACUCGAACUUGUCUGACUUCUUCAUCAGUCGGUAAAGAGGCAAUGCCUUCUCACCGAGACAAGAGAUGAAUCGACUUAAAGCGGCCAAGCAACCAGUAAGCUUCUGAACAUCGUGCACACGCACAGGUCGUUUCAUUCGAAGUAUAGUGCCUACUUUCUCUGGGUUUGCAUCGAUUCCUCGUUCGGAAAUGAGAAAACUGAGUAACUUUCCACCAGGAACUCCGAAUGUGCACUUGGAUGGGUUAAUCUUGACAUCGUACCUCCUGAGGUUGGCAAAUGUUUCAGCGAGGUCAGUCAGCAGGUCGAAACCUUUCCGUGACUUGACCACAAUGUCAUCCAUGUACGCUUCCACAUUCCGACUGAUUUAAGUGAGCAAACACUUCUGAAUCAUCCUCAUGAACGUGGCUCCGGCAUUCUUGAGGCCGAAUGGCAUGGUGACAUAACAGAAGCACCCGAAUGGGGUGAUGAAAGUUGUUUUGAUCUCAUCGGGUCCAAACAGAUGGAUCUGAUGGUACCCGGAAUAAGCGUCCAAGAAAGACAGUCGCUCACACCCCGCAGUCGAGUCGACUAUUUGGACGAUGCGGGGAAGAGGAAAAUGAUCUUUCGGGCAGGCCCGAUUGAUAUGCUUAAAAUCGAUGCACAUGCGAAGCGAAUUGUCCUUUUUGGGGACCAUGACGACAUUGGCGAGCCACUCGGAGUGGUAAAUCUCUCGGAUAAACUCUGCUGCUAGGAGCCGAGCCACUUCUUCGCCAAUAGCCUUCCUUUUCUGGACGGCGGACCGUCACAGAUGUUCCUUCACAGGUUUUGCCUUUGAAUCGACUCGCAGAUGAUGCUCAGCCAGUCUCCUGGGUACACCCGGCAUGUCAGAAGGUUUCCAUGCAAAGAUGUCCAGUUCUCACGGAGGAACUGGAUGAGCGCUUCUUCCUAUUUGGGGUCGAGUGUUGUGGAGAUAUGAGUCGGAGUAGCGUUGGGGUCGGUCGGGUGGAUGUGAACUGGUUUUGUCUCACCGGACGACUGAAACGCUGAUUCUGUAGCGGGCUUCUUGGCUCGCAACAAAUCACUCGGGUCUGCAUUCCUCUGGUGUUCCUGCCACUCUUCUGCCACCAUCUGAGCAUCGGCGAUCUUUGAGCCUUUCUGGAAGCACUCUUCUGCCUUCUUGCGGUUACCAGUGACAGUGAUCAUGCCUUUAGGGCCAGGCAUCUUUAGUUUGAGGUACACGUAACAUGGUCGGGCCAUAAAACGUGCAUAAGCUGGCCUGCCCAAAAUAGCAUGGUAGGCACUCUGGAAAUCCACAACCUCAAAUGCCAGCUUCUCUUUGCAGAAAUUCUUUGAAUCACCAAAAACCACGUCAAGAGCAAUCUGGCCGAGUGAUGCGGCCUUCUUGCCAGGGAUGACUCCAUAGAAACUCAUGUUGCUUGUGCUUAGUCUGGACAUCGGAAUGCCCAUCCCUUUCAGCGUCUCAGCGUGCAGUAUAUUCAAACUGCUGCCGCCAUCCAUCAACACUUUGGUCAGUCGAGUGCCUUCGACGACUGGGUCGACCACCAACGCUUGCCACCCAGGGGUGGCUAUGUGCGUCGGGUUAUCAGAUUGGUCGAAUGUAAUGGCAGUCUGAGACCACUUCAGGUAAUUGGGUGUUGACGGAGCAGCCAUAUUCACUUCUCGGUUUAUAACUUUCAGUCGGUUUUUGCUCUCAACGUCAGCAAAAAUCAUCAAGGUGGAAUUGACCUGUGGAUAUUCCUCAUCACUGUCCUCCUUGUCCUCAACCUUGUCUGACUCUUUUUCUUUCUCCUUGGGCUGCUUCCCUUGGAACUGCUGUAUCAGGAGUCGACACUGUCGAGUGGUAUGCUUCGGGUAAAUGAAAUUACCCUCUUCGUCUUUCUUGGUGUGGAUGUGACAUGGCAAAUCCAACACGUCAUUUCCUUCUUUAUCCUUUAUUUUCUUGGGGUUCCAAGGCCCCUUGGGCUUCCCUUUGAACUUUCCUUGAUUCAGGGCCAAGGCUUCUCCAGGAGCGGCUGGCUCGGCUUUACGCUUUUGCUUCCGACUGGAAUUUCCGCCUCCGGUGUCCUGGGCGACUGACUUGUGCUUGCCGCUCUGGAGCCGAUCCUCUUCCUCACCAUUAGCAUAUUUGGUGGCUAUUUCCAUCAUUCGACUCAGAGACAUGUCUCCGGUUCGACCGAAUUUCAGGCUUAGCUCUCUGUACUUUACGCCCUCCUUGAAGGUGCAAACUGCCUGGUGAUCAGAUACGUUCUCUACCGUGUGAUGCAGUGUGAUCCAUCUCUGGAUGUAAUCCCUCAGAGUCUCAUUCGACUUCUGCACACAAGAUUGCAGCUCUGUCAGUCCUUCUGGUCGCUUGCAUGUUCCUUCAAACAUCCUGACAAACACUCGGGAGAGGUCUUCCCACGUGUAAAUGUUGUUGGGUGUCAACUGAUUCAGCCAUGCUCUGGCUGACCCUUCCAACAUAAGAGGCAGAUGCUUCAUGGCCACCUCGUCGUUCCCGCCGCCGAUCUGAACGGCCACUCGGUAGUCCUCAAGCCAAGUAUCAGGCUUGGACUCACCGUUGAACUUGCUGACUCCAGUCGCCAACCUGAAGUUGGGAGGAAUCACCGCGGCUCUGAUGGAUCUGCUGAAACACUCUGGUCCAGAGACAUGCACUCGGUUGCUGGUGGGUACGUCUCUGUCAUUACCCUCUCUGUGGGCUCUGUUCCGGUCGACCAAACCUUGAAUGAUGAUGGAUCUCGCAUCAAAGCCUGGUUCUCUGGGGUCGACUGGAAUCCUUCGCCCGCCACUGUGCUGGCGUCUAUCAUCCUGCAGUCGAGGCACAUAUGAUCCACCCCUUGGAGGAGGAGUGGGCACUCGACAUCGAUCGUUGCGAUCGAAUCGGUGAUCAUACUGCUCAUGGUUCUUGUACUGAUCGUGCCGGUCACCACGCCCUUCACGCCUCGGGGGCGAUGUGGGGCUAUGAGCCGACUGGACCGUAUUCGCCGCCACGGAUUUGCUGUGAAUCCUGUUCCGUGACUGUGAUACAGCUGAAUUCAGAUCUCCUGCUGCCCGGAGAAAAUCUCUGAUCUGCAUCAAGCCUCUGCCAGCCUCUGACUGGGAAGGCUGAAUCGACUCUGCUAUACGGGUUGCAGCUGCUAAAUUCUGGAUCGGAGUUCGAUAUACCUGAGUCGGAGGUUUAAAGAGUUGGCGUCGACUGGAGUCUGGAAUCCGUUGCCGCGCGCGCUCGUUGAGUGCCUGCUGAAGGUUCUCCAGUCGAGUGCGCUCAGCCAGGUUGGCCAAGCACGCGUCCUCUAAGGCGCGAGCCUCAGGGGUUUCUCCAACGAUUGGAGUGUGAAGCGCAUCCAUGUUCCGGUGGCGAAGCUCUUCCCUCUGCUGCAAAUUGAGGGGCUCGGGGAGAUAUUCCUCAUGGUCGUGCAACGGAUCGCCUCCGCCGUUGCCCCCCUCGGCCCCAGGAAAGCUGGGGGGCGCGUGCGGUCCAUUGACCAUCAGGACCUCCACCGCUGGAUCACUGUUGUCGCACUCGGAUGCAGUCUCUGCGGAGCCAGUCGACAGGUCGAACAGACCGUAGAGAGAUUCGUCGGGCUCGAUUGCCGCGACUUUGGCGGUGGUCGACUGGCGAGCCACCGCGUGUCUCACCCACCGCUGAAGCCUCGACCAACUGAAGCGCUUACGCCGGCGGGAAGCGGGGAGGGAGGAUGACACGAAAACCAGCCGAUACUGGGUCGACGGUUGCCGCAGAAGGACGCCGCGGACGCAUGCUCGAAAGUGCGUAGCUCCGCGGACCGGGAGCGCAUCCACGUCGAGUGGAGCCUCCUGCAGCCAGGCAGAGUCGUCGACGAUGGGACGUCCAUUAUUCUUUGAAACCUUCCUGGUGGCAGCCUGGAGUCCCUGGAAAGAAAGAAACAACAAACAUUUCAGGAGGAUUACGCCAACUGUCGGUGGGUGGCUGAAUAGAUUCAAGGAAGACUUUGGUCUCCUCCAACAUAGGACUAGGGGGAGUCAUCCUGCUUUUAUUUCUUAUUUUGUUUCUGAUUUGAACUAAUAACACCACUCCUCGACCACCUGCCCCCUCUGGAAGGGCAGCAUGGCAAAUAGGGCAACUACAUAUGUACUAACCCUUGUAACACCCUGUCUAUAUAUACAUAUAUGAAAACACAGUAGGAGCCUUUCCUACUGUUUACCCUUCAAAAAAAAUGUGAGCGCGCCGAGACGGAUCUCGCGGCCCUCAACCAAAACUCCACCGGAAACCAUGAUGAUGAGAAUCGAAAAGAUUGCAACUUCUCCAAUAAGUCGCUAAGACACCUGCCCCAAGGUUGGCGCCAACUGUCGUGGUUCUAAGUCUGACAGUAGAAUAGGGGGUAGGUAUGGAGAGGCAAGAUCCUAGCUAUGGAGCAGUUGUGCACACAAGUGUUUUACGAGUUCGGACCCUUCUCGGAGGAAAUAACAGCCCUACGUCUCGGAGCCCGGAGGCGGUCGACUGGAUUAUAUGUGUGAGAGUUACAGGGGUGCGAACCCUUCUGCCAGUGGAGAGGGGUGGCUUAUAUAGAGGAUGACAGGACCCCAACCUACCCACGUAGUAGAGGGUUAAAGUACAUUAAGGUCUGGCGUUACUGGUAAUGCCUUACAUAAAGUGUCAUCAUGGCCAUAAAGACUACUUAAUUACAGACCGUUUUGAUACAGAGUAGAUCCUGAACUCCUGGUGGUCGAGUGAGUCUUCAUGGUCGAGUGUCUUCAUGUUCGUCGAGUGUCUUCUAGUCCGUCGAGUGGAAUCUCUCUUGGUCGACUGGGAGACGGUCUCUUCUAUAGAUGUCCUUGGGGAGGGUACCUGGGUCAGGUACAUGACCCUACACCCUAGGUACAUGACUUCAUCACCAGCUGUGGUCGACAUGAUCAUGGAAGUUUUGGUCAUCACUCCCAACUGGACAGUGUCGUACAUCACGUAUAUCCUAAGGAAAGAGCUCCCAUAGAAUGAAGAAGAGGCUCGACAGAUCAUCCAUCGAUCCAAAUCCUUUACUGUGAUAAAGGGACAAUUGUACAGGGAAAGCGCGACUGGAGCCAAUCAGAAAUGUAUAACGCCAGAAGAAGGUCGGAUAGUUCUUGACGAUAUCCACUGGAGACCUUUGGCCACCAUGCAUCCUCUCGGGCUAUUGUGGCUAAAGCAUACCGAGCGGGGUUUUACUGGCCCAGAGCAAAUGAAAUGGCGAAGGAGAUAGUCGACAAGUGUGAAGGAUGUCAGUUCUAUUCCAAUAUGUCACACAAGCCCGCCUCAGCCUUGAAGACCAUUCCACUCGUUUGGCCCUUCGCUAUUUGGGGAUUAGAUAUGGUUGGACCACUGAGAACUGGCAGGAGCGGCUUCACCCAUGUACUGGUGGCAGUCGACAAGUUCACUAAGUGGAUUGAAGCCAAGCCUAUCAAGAAUCUUGAUGCCGGCACUAUUAUCAGCUUCAUCAGAGAGUUGAUAUUCAGAUAUGGAGUUCCGCAUAGCAUCAUCACUGAUAAUGGGUCAAACUUCGAUUCCGACCAAUUCAGAGCCUUUUGCGCUUCUCAAGGCACGCGAGUCGACUACGCUUCCGUCGCUCAUCCCCAGUUGAAUGUUCAAGCAGAAAGAGCAAACGGCCUAAUUCUCAAAGGACUGAAACCCUGGUUGAUGCGUGAUCUCAAACACGCAGCAGGCGCGUGGGUCGACGAACUUCCUUCAGUUCUUUGGGGAUUGAGGACCACUCCUAAUCGAUCGACUGGGCGAACUCCAUUUUUUCUGGUUUAUGGAGCCGAAGCAGUUCUGCCGAGUGACCUACUUCACAAUGCACCACGAGUCGAGCUCUACUCUGAAGAUGAAGCAGAACAAGCCCGGCAGGACGUGGUCGACCUUCUAGAAGAAGAAAGAGAGAUGGCCAUGAUCCAAUCGACUAUCUAUCAGCAGGACUUGCAUCGAUUCCAUGCCAGAAACGUGAAGAGCCGAGCCUUCCAAGAAGGAGACUUGGUCCUCCGAGUGGAUCAGCAAAAGCCACACAAACUCGCUCCUACUUGGGAAGGCCCCUUCAUCAUCACCAAAGUUCUCCACAAUGGAGCAUACCGUAUUUACAAUGUCGAUUGCCAGAUUGAUGAGCCACGAGCUUGGAAUGCGGAGCUGCUCCGCCCCUUUUAUACUUAAGUACUCACUCGGAUGAGAUGUAAUAAAAAGUACCUAUGUAGUUUGUUUAUUGAAGACAAGAGUAUUAUAAUUUUCCCAGUGAUUGUUGUUGCUUUUGUUUACGUGAGAAAUCCCCCAGUGGGUGGCUUAGCUGCGAAUCCGUUUCGCCUAAGUUUGAAAAAAAAAUCCCUACCGAGUGACGAGCAAGCCUCUCACUCGGGGGCUUAGCUGCGAAUCCGUUUCGCCUAAGUGUGUGAAAAUCCUACCGAGUGGAGAGCAAACCUCCCACUCGGGGGCUUAGCUGCAGUCCAGUACUCGCCUAAGUAUUUGAAAUUCCUACCGAGUGGAGAGCAACCCUCCCACUCAGAGGCUUAGCUGCAGUCCAGUACUCGCCUAAGUAUUUGAAAAUCCUACCGAGUGGAGAGCAAACCUUCCACUCGGGGGCUUAGAUGCAGUCCAGUACUCGCCUAAGUAUUUGAAAUUCCUACCGAGUGGAGAGCAACCCUCCCANNNNNNNNNNNNNNNNNNNNNNNNNNNNNNNNNNNNNNNNNNNNNNNNNNNNNNNNNNNNNNNNNNNNNNNNNNNNNNNNNNNNNNNNNNNNNNNNNNNNNNNNNNNNNNNNNNNNNNNNNNNNNNNNNNNNNNNNNNNNNNNNNNNNNNNNNNNNNNNNNNNNNNNNNNNNNNNNNNNNNNNNNNNNNNNNNNNNNNNNNNNNNNNNNNNNNNNNNNNNNNNNNNNNNNNNNNNNNNNNNNNNNNNNNNNNNNNNNNNNNNNNNNNNNNNNNGUCCAGUACUCGCCUAAGUAUAUGAAAAUCCUACCGAGUGGAGAGCAAACCUCCCACUCGGGGGCUUAGCUGCAGUCCAGUACUCGCCUAAGUAUUUGAAAAUCCUACCGAGUGGAGAACAAACCUCCCACUCGGGGGCUUAGCUGUAGUCCAGUACUCGCCUAAGUAUUUGAAAUCCUAUGGAGUGGAGAGCAAACCUCCCACUCGGGGGCUUAGCUGCAGUCCAGUACUCGCCUAAGUAUUUGAAAAUCCUACCGAGUGGAGAGCAACCCUCCCACUCGGAGGCUUAGUUGCAGUACAGUACUCGCCUAAGUAUAAAAUCCAUUCCGAUCCGCAAGGACGGCGAGGUGCAGGUCGACUGCCGCCUUCUCCUUCGGAGCUACGCCACAAAUAUAACGUGCGCUCUGCAAGGACGACGAGGUGCAGGUUGACUGCCGCCUUCUCCUUCGGAGUCACAAAUACAACGUGCGCUCUGCAAGGACGACGAGGUGCAGGUCGACUGCCGCCUUCUCCUUCGGAGCUACGCCAUAAAUACAACAUGCACUCUGCAAGGACGACGAGGUGCAGGUCGACUGCUGCCUUCUCCUUCGGAACUACGUCACAAAUACAACGUGCGCUCUGCAAGGACGACAAGGUGCAGGUCGACUGACGCCUUCUCCUUCGGAGCUACGCCACAAAUACAACAUGCACUCUGCAAGGACGACAAGGUGCAGGUCGACUGCUACCUUCUCCUUCGGAGCUACGUCACAAAUACAACGUGCGCUCCAUCCCGAUCCGCAAGGACGCAGGUCGACUGUAAUCUGUGCUCCAUCCCUACCUGCAAGAGCGAUGAGGUGAAGGUCGACUGGAUUCUCCACCUCAGAGCUGCGUCACAAGCACUAAAGUAUAUUCCGAGUGAAGAACAAAGUUCGCUCGAAGGCAAAUGCAAGCAUAUUCAACGAUAAGCCAAGUUCAGAUAACAUCCUAUGGAUUCAGAAGUGCUCAGGCAUCAAGCCUGUAAAAGUUUAUCGGUUACAAAACCACUCGGCAUUCCGAGGCAAAUUUAAGGUGAAGCAUAGAAGUUUUUCUUACUCCUCGGGUGGAGGACUGGAAGGCGCGACAAACUGGUCCAGGUCGAUUCCAUCAGCAAUCUGAGUGGCAGCAGCAAUGAAGGUCUCCAUGAAAGAUUGGAAGUCAUGCUUCUUGGUAUUGGCCACUUUGAGGGACGCCAGCUUGUCCUCUCGCGCAUCCUUGCAGUGAACACGGACCAGGGACAGAGCAACAUCAGCACCACACCUGGCAGAAGACUUCUUCCAUUCUUGCACUCGACCUGGAACUUCGUUCAGUCGAGUCAUUAGAGACUCGAGGUCAUUUUGAAGCGUCUCUCCCGGCCAGAGUGUCUUAUCGAUUCGCGACGCCGCAACCUUCAGUCGAGCAAGGUAGUCAACCACACCAGCAACACGAGACUCCAGUCGGAGCACGUGCAUAGCAGCUUCGUCCUUCACAAGAGAGUUAAUGGGGUCCAAGCCUGUCUCCACUCGACUGGUCUCCUCCUCGAAGUUUUGGCAGUAUUCUGUAAACACAACUCAAAGAUAAACCAGCAGUUCUACGAUAAGUCGAUGAUUACAAGUCAGUCGGGUAGGAGGGAUUACCCUCAAGCAUGAUGAAUAACUUCUUGGCGAGCCCUCCCAGAUAAGACUCCAGAUCGUUCUUCUUCCCCGCCAGUUCACCAGCCUUGUCAUUCAGAGCUAUCUUAUCAUUUUUCAGAUGGCUGACUUCCUUGUUGGCCGCGUCGAGAGCAGCUUUCAGAUUGGCGUUCUCCUCUUCAAGUUUACCGACUGAAGCCAGUUUUUCUUCCGCAAGCUUCGUUUUGUCCAAAGUCGCCUUCUGCGCCUCGGCAAGGUCGUGGUCCUUCUUUUUUAGAGGCUCCUUCAUUUUAUCUGCAAAAUGACAAUGAGAUCAGAAUCAAGAAUGGGCAGAAAGAUAAGGACAGUCGACAAGUUCUCACCAAUCAUACCUUUUGCUUCUUCCUUCACCUUCUGAAAGUUCUCCUGAACAAGCUUCAAGUCAAGGUCGAGUUGGAUAUGUUUGUUUUCCAACUCAGUAUAGCGAGCCACAAGCUUGCAAGAUUUCUGCGAAAGGUCAGUCGACAGACAUCAAAGAUAGAUUGCUUCCGAGUGACUAAGAGAAAAACCGUAACAUUUCUAAGACUACAGCCGAAUCAAAAUAUUCAACAGUAGUCUCUGGGACUACACCCAGUGGGUGCACUCAGCGUGCCCCACUGGUUCUACCGACUUGGUCCGAUUAGUCGGCCGAAAGAGACAAAGAGGUUAUGAUCCCAAAACUAUAGCCCUAUAGCUAACUGCCAGCAGUUAGUCUUGGUCUCAUCAUGAUCUACCAAAAAACAUAGGUUCUUCAGACUACAGUCGGCUGCCAGCAGUCCACCGUAGUCUCAGGGACUACACCCAGUGGGUGCACUCAGCGUGCCCCCACCGGUUCCAAGAUUCCAUUCGACAUGGUUCGACCAGACCGAGUGAAGAAGUUACAAUGAAGAAAUUCAAAAUACAAAGACUACAGUCGACUGCCAGCAGUCCACCAUACUCUCGGGGACUACACCCAGUGGGUGCACUCAGCGUGCCCCCACCAAUUCAAAUAUUCAAUCGACACACCCAAUGGGUGUACAUAUACAAAGAUCUUCGGAAAGAAAGUCUUCAGAUAGCAUAUCCUAACAGAACAAGCGGUGACCAACUAACCUGGACGUUGCUCUGAAGGGCUGGGCUAGCAUCAUAGGCCGCUUGGCUGGCUUCCCGGAUCGCCUUCACCUGCUCCAUCAUGAUCCCCGCCUGGCGUAUAGCCUCCUUAGCAGCACCCGCUUGGUCCUCUAGGACGUGGUGUGUGGCGAAAAGGGAGGGCGGAUCAGCAGUCGACGUCGAAGGCCGGACACUCGUCAGUGCCACAGUGAAGGACAUGGAAUGUCGAGUGACAUCGCCACCCUCUUGAACCGAUGCCUCAGGCACUGAUGCAAUCUGAGUGGUCUUGCCAGCCGGUGCCUUUUUAUUCCUCCUCGCCCUCAGUGGCACCUCGUCGUCAUCAUCAGGGAGAUCAAUCACAUGAGGAGGAGCUACAGGAAAAAUCCAAAGUUAGAAACGAAAAUCCAAUCGACCAAAAGUGAAACUACAGAAAUCAUACCAAGGUUGGAAGUGACAGCGUCUUCCAUUUCUUGGUCUUCGUUCCUGGCGGAGGUCUCGGAGGUAGCAGCACUACAGAUUUCAGAAACCAGUCGGUUAAUCAAUGAGUCGACCAAGAGUUCAUCCGUGCUAAACGAGAAGACACAAGUUAUGCUGUUACCCGGAAAUGGUGGGAAUGGCCAUUCUCAUCUUGGGCAAGGCCUUCGGCGGCUUUGAUGGCGCUGCUCGUGGAUGCUUCGGUGCUUUUUCAGUCGGCGCCAGAGAAGCCGCCCGAGGGCGCUUUGACGAUUGCCCAACGGGCGCAAUCGCUUUGCCGCGCUCGUUCACGGGGUCGUGGGCGAGCUUGGAUCGCCUUUUCGUGCGAGGAGGAUCGACUUCCUCCUCCUCCUCUUUGUUGGAGCCGUCGUCAUCCUCUUCCCUCUCACCAUCAGAUUGCCACUCCUCCUCACUUUCACCUCUGCUCGCCUCUCCCUCCUCGGCCUGUUCUUGCGCCCCGUUGGGCAUCAAGUACAUCUCAGUCGUGGCCUAGAAGACAACAAACAAGACAAAAGUCAGUCGACUGAUUUUAAGCAAACAGAAUGAAGAAAGCAGGAUCACAGUCAGAGAUGCAGAAUUGGACCUUGUCUACUUCGUAUGAUUGGUCGAGUGGAGGAAUUCUCCUGGCUCCUCGGGGUUGUCUUUGUUCCCUGUGAUGCUCGCCAGCCACCUCUCCAGCGUGGCAUCGUCAAUCUCCUCCGGGUAGAUCCGAGUGGUGUCCUCAGUGCCAGAAUACAACCACAUCGGAUGGUCUUGAGGUUGAAGCGGCUGGAUGCGUCGUCGGAGGAAGACCUCCAAGAGGUCCAUGCCGGUUACCCCGUCACGGAUAAGCUGGACGACACGCUCGACCAGCACUUUAACCUGCGCCUUCUCUUUCGGGAUCACCUUCAAAGAGGAAGGCUUCCUCACUCGUUCCAUGGAAAAAGGAGGGAGUCUGGUUGACUGCCCUGGCGUUGGCUAGUCUUUGCAGUAGAACCAGGUCGACUGCCAUCCACGGACCGAGUCGGGUAGGAUCAUGGCCAGAAAAGAGCUUUUUCCCCUCAUUUAAACCCCAAGACCCCCACACAUCUGAAUCACUUGUGUUCUCUCGUCACUCGGAUUGGCCUUUUUCACCGUCUGGGAGCGACAGGUGAAGAUGUGCUUGAAAAGACCCCAAUGAGGCCGGCAACCCAAGAAAUUCUCGCACAAAGACACGAAAGCAGUGAGGUACACGAUGGUGUUGGGUGUGAAGUGGUGGAGUUGCGCCCCAAAGAAAUUCAGAAAUCCCCGAAAGAAAGGGUGAGGCGGCAAAGAAAAUCCACGGUCGACAUGGGUGGCCAAGAGAACGCACUCACCCUCCCGAGGCUGCGGCUCAGACUCCUUCCCCGGGAGCCGCACCGAUCCAUGGGGGAUCAGUCCUCCAUCGGCCAGGUCGUCAAGAUCUGCUUGACAAAUCGUUGAGCGGAUCCAGUCACCCUGGAUCCAGCCCUGCGGCAGGCCGGCCCUCGAUGAAGAUCCGCCUCGACUGGUCGCCCUUCCCUUCGCCUUCGCCGUCGCUUUCUUCGCUCGCUCCAGGGCUGCCGUCUUCUCUUUCACCAUCGUCACCGGCGAGAUGCGCACGGGACGGCUGCACUGAGACGGAAGCGGACGCGGCGGAUAAGUCUGGAGAAGAGAGGAGGAAAUGAGAACGCACUGUUCAAAAAAACCCGUCCGGCGCCUUAUAUGAGGUUACUUCCGAGUGACUGACUUGUAGGCCCGGGCGAUCCUGUCAAAUCCCGCAACAGUCGCGCGCGCGAUACGUGGCGAGAAAGGUGGCGCGGAGAUCGAGGCAUCCCUGCUCUAUCCCGUCCGAUUACUGCGGCCUCCUCCGCCCCGCGCGCUUCCCAAAAUUCGAAUCCCACAAAAUCCGCGAGCAGCAGAACAACUUGUCAAACAGGGGAUCUCCUCCACACCGUCACUCGGAACUUUUCAAGUAAAGAAAUUCACUCGACUGAAACCAAGAAUGGACCAAGGCGACCGAAAAAGAAGUUGGUGUCGUUACUCAAGUUCUUGGAUCCAGAGCCAGAUACACUCAUAGCACGAAAAAUGGGUCGGAAGAGUUCUCAACUCCUUCCCCACUCAAACCUCAAUCCAUUCGAGGGCUAAUGAUGAAGCUAUGUACCUAGGGUAGGGUCAUGGACCUGUCCAAACUACCCUACCCAAGGACAUCUCUAGAAGAAACCACCUGUCAAUCGACUCAGAAGUGUUCCACUCGACACACUCGACCAUGAAGCCAACCACUCGACCAUGAAGCCAACCACUCGACGGCCGGGAGAACUAAAGUCACUCUGCAUGUAAACGGUCGGUCAUUGAGUAGCAUUUAUGGUCAUCAUAGCACUUUACUUGUGGCGUUACCAGUAACGCCAGAUCUUAAUGUACCUUAAACCCUACAUAACUGAGGGCGGAGGGGUCUGGCGAACUCUAUAUAAGCCACCCACCUCCUCAGUGUAGAGGGUUCGCACCCCUGUAACUCAUACACAUAUAAUCCAGUCGACCGCCUCUGGGCUCCGAGACGUAGGGCUGUUACUUCCUCUGAGAAGGGCCUGAACUCGUAAAUCCCUUGUGUAUACAACUGCUCCAUAGCUAGAAUCUUGCCUCUCCAUACCUACCCCCCCUACACUACUGUCAGACUUAGAACCACGACAUUCGCCGCCGCGUCCUUUGUUGCCUCACGCUCCGACAACUUGAUCGCGAGUCAGAGCGCCUUGGCAUUCUUGCGGCGAAGGCAGCACUACUUCGGUCGCCGGCCAUCGGAUGCGUUUGGAGGGGAUCGGAAGUGGAGUGGACGAAGAGGGGAGUGAAGUUGAGUUCGGGUUGACUGCGGUCUAGGGUUUUCUGGACGGCAAUAUUUGUGUGGCAGGCGUGGGCCAGGCUGGGCCAAGCCGACGUGGUGGGCGCGCCCGAACCGCCCCAUAUUUGGGCUAUGAGGGGUGUCGAUCAGUUCGGACGUUUGAGGCGCUUGGAUGGAUCAAAUUUUUGUAACCGGUCGGCCCGCCCGAGCGUUUGAGGUGUAUUUAGGGCGUCCGGCUGCAGAUGCUCUUAGCCUAUCCACUUUACACAAUAUCUAACCUAACUAGUAUGCGAUGGUAUCAGGUUCCAAAGUGCCAGCUAAUAUGAUAGGACCAUAUGUUCCAUCAUGCUUACACAUGUUAUAUUCGUUAUAAACAAAAGAAACAACCAAAUGUUCCAAAGUCUAAUCGGUCAAUUAGUUAAACUCGUACGUCAUCUUGUGGUACUGAAGUCUGACCAGCUAACUGCUAAUUAGAGAAGUAGCCUGGUUGGCAUUAUUAGUUCACUCAUUUUAUCUUUUGGGAAAACAGAAAAAGUAGCUAAUGCUUUUAAAUGAUUUUGAGAGACACUGCACAAGCUCUAAUGAUAAAUUCUUUUAAAUGAUUAGAGGAGCUAAUCCAUCAGUUUCAUCCAACAAAAGGUAGUAAUAAUAGUGCUGAUCAGCAGCCGGCCCAAAACGAAAGCUAAGUGAUUGAGCACGGCACGAAAUUCUGUCACUUAGGCUCCCACUUAAAAGGGCAAGACAUUGUCCACCACCGGUCUUGCCCAAGUGUGACGCGCCAAAAGUGGACGGUUAUGUAUGUACCCCCUAGCCAAGAUGCAUUUUGGUUCACACUUUUCUCCUAGGAUCAUUGAGUGAAAUCCUCAUAAAAUGGUCCAAAUUGAUCGUUCGUAUAAAAAAAACUUGAUAAUUUUUACAAGCUUAGCAAAAUUAAGCAAUGCUGAAUUGCUAGCCAAUCCACCAGGGUUCCAAUCCGACACCGCACUGGGACUUUAUUCUCCCUCUGUUUGGAUCAUCAUGGGCUUUAAAGAUAAGAUAAUCACACUCACCUUUUGUUCAGGAACUAAUCGUGCUGAUGCUACGAAGCAACAUCCAUAUCAAUGGCUUUAUGCAACAUGAGCCAAAUUGUCACGCGUGCCAAAGCUGAUGGAGCCAAGCUAGAACUAGAAUCAAAGACAGGCCAGUGUUUUACUUGUAGAGUACGACUAUAUCCUCAUGCGACUUUGUGUGCUAAACAAGAGCUGGAAACUCAUUCUCAAGGUCAGCUGCCACAACAAUAAAGUCAAGAAACUUCAAGGAUCACUUUGGGCUUCAUACAAGUCAAGGAAGCUUGCUAAUAGAAUAAUCAAGGAACCUUGAGCCAUUUUCUCUUCUGAAGUUCCACCGGUAUCAAUAUUUGGCACACAAAGAUAACUUGAUUCAUUUCUCGAAUUUUCCAAUGUUUUUUGUAUUUAUUUUGACCUUUUAUUCCCUUUUUCUAGAUUUGUGUUGACUUCCUAGUAUUAAGCGGACAUCAACAUGCGGAAUUUUAUUUAUUGAUUAAGUUCAGUGUCAUUUUUUAAAUGGAUUAAUUUUUGCGACAGCUAAAUGAAUUACUUUACACGAACUUGAAAAAAGAGUAUGCUGGCUGCUGAGCCUACGGGUUUAACUUGUACACACAUAAAGCCUAUCCACUUAACACAAAUCCAAUCCUGGUAUACUAGCAUGCGAUGCGAUGGUAUCAUGUUCCAAAGUGUCGAUUAUUCGACUGAUAUGUAGGACCAUAUAUUCCAUUAAACUUAUACAUGUCCAUUUCAUCGUUAAACAAAAGAAACAGCCACAUAUUCCAAAGUCUAUUGGGUCAAUUAAACCCAUAUGUCACCCCUUAGAGCUACCAGCUAACCCCCAAUUAGGGCUUCUUGAGAAUUAGCUUGUUGAGACUAUUAAUUAGCUUCAUUUUAUUUUAUCACUUCCUUACAAAUAAGCCUCGUGAUUAAUUAAUUCUUAAAAAAUGGAAGUACUUUUUAGCUAAAAAUGGAAGUAGUUGUGAAAUGACAAAUGAGUUUAGCCCCUAAUAAUCGGCAGGGUAUCCAAAAUAUAGAAGAAAAAGGGACAAUGCGCUUCACGAAAUUCGGCACUUGGGCUCUCACUUGAGAGCAGGAAAUCGUCCACCCCCAUACUUGCCCAAAUGUGGCAUGCAAAAGAAAUCCAAAUAUGUACUAAUCUUCUUACUAGAAAUCAUCUUCGUUCAAUCGCUUGAAUUCCACAUUAAAAUGAUCAAACUUGAUCAUCUAUCCAUCCAACAAAAGGUAUUGAUACUUUCAUAAGGCCUAGUGAAGAUGGGCAAUGUUGAAUUGCCCACCAAUCCAAACAUUUUGAGACUUAAUGCCUUGUUUGGGGCUUUAUGAAUGGCGUUGUUUUAUGCCUUUCGUUUAGAUAAAAACAAGGGUUCGAAUCCUAACAGACACCAUGGUAUGAUUUCAGUAAAGAUUCAUUGAUUAUUAUUCAGCCUUUGUUAUUACCGAAAAGGGUUUCCCCUCUUUAUAUUAUAAAGCAACCAUCAACAAACAUCCGAGCGAACCGAUACAAAUACACGUCACCACGGCACACAACGCACAUCCAAGGCAAGAUACAAAGUGUCGGGCACAGUCCCACCACUCCAACGACAACCAAGCAAACCAAAAAUGAGCUAAGAAGGACCACUUGGAGACGACGGAGACCUCCACCAAGAACCAUCGAGGAGGGAUGAGACGAACAAUGACCAAGCAAGGACUCUAUGACGGUGCCUUCCAGAAGAGUACGACCAUAGAUAGCCGUCACCGUCUAAUUAGCACAUCAAGUUUUUACCCAAAGCCACACGCAAGAAGCAGGAGCACCGCGACGGAGCCUUCAAAAAGAAUAUGACGUCCACGGACGCCGCCACCUAUUAUUACGGCGCGUGUGAGUAGGAUUUCCACGAAAGAAAAGAAAUAUCAAACUCUACCUCGCUCUCGGUCCGAGGAGAAAAUUCAACCGCGUGCAAAAUCAAGAGCUAGGAUUUAAAAUCCCGGGAGUUUAGAACCUUCCGAAGUCACAAUCGUCUCCCCGGGAUUAAAUGCCUCAAACAGCACGAGAAAUAAAAAACAAAAAGUUUCUUAGCCGCGUGGUGGUGCGAGACUCCGGUCCAGAGCUGGGGCGGCCGGCCGGCAGACCGCCAAGAAACCAAACCACCUCCCGUCUCCGUCCCCGGCCACCACCACCGCCACCUGCCCGCGCCCUCCACCGCUCCUCCUACAAGAGCCCCCCACCCCCGCGCCCCUGCCAGCAGCAACCCUGCGCCGUGCGAGUCAACCUCUCCUCUCCAUCUCUCCCGGGGAUCUCGCGCGCUCCCUCCGGAAUCAGGCGCCGGCGGUCGGAGGGACAAAGGCACGGGCAUGGAGGCGGUCGCGGCGGCCGGUGGCGCCGGGCUGACCGGGUGGCAGGCAGCGGCGCUGUCUGGCGCGGCGGGGUGGGUGUGGGCGGCCUCCCACUACGACCUCACGCCCCAGGCGCGCGCGCUGGCGCAGCCCUGGGUCACCCGCCGCGUCCACGCCGAGACGCCCUCCAUCCUCACCUUCCAGGUCCGUUCCUCCUGCCCCCCAAUCCCUGCUUUUCCCACCUCGUUUCCACCAACAGAAGGCUCUCACCAAAGGAGGAAAGGCCACACGCAGUUCCAGUUCCUGCAUUUGGGGAUAUCUUGUCGUGCAAUCUGGAUACCAUUACCCGUUCCAGCACGCGGUUGCUGCUCGAUCCGUUAGUCCUAGGACAAAGAAGAACCAAUUAGGUGAUUGAAUCAUGUAAAGAGAGAUUAAUCUGGCUUCAAACAAACGAGGAGACAAAAUCAUCAUCGUCUUGUACAAAAACAUUGACGAUACCUACGAUGUGCGCAUUUACUUUUACACCUGGCCUCGAUUCCUAAGCUGUUCUUGCUUGUAUUUUUCUCAAGGGGAAAAAUCCCUGCCUGUUCAAUCAUUGCAGAGGGUGCAGCACAGGAUGCUGGACAACUUCUUCUCCGUGCUGUCAUGCGUUGUCUCUGUCCCUUUCUACACGGGAUUCCUCCCCCUCCUCUUCUGGGUAUGCUCCAGCCACUCCCCUGCCAUGUCUUGUGGCGCAUUGAUCGCCUCUUAUACUGCUUCUGUAAUUGUGAGCUGUUUCCGUUGAUAUUGUAGAGUGGACAUGGCAAGCUGGCUAGGCAAAUGACCCUGCUGCUGGCCUUCUGCGAUUACCUUGGCAACGCUGUCAAGGUGACCAUCUACUCACACAAAAUCGGGUGCAAGCUGGGUUUUUGCUGUUUUGGAUGGUUUGGUUGUUGACACCUUGGAAAUUUAUGGAUGUAGGAUUUAGUGUCAGCUCCUCGGCCGUGUUCCCCUCCCGUGAGGAGGGUCACAGCUACCGAAGAUGAGAAGGAAAAUGCCAUGGAAUAUGGACUGCCUUCAUCGCACGCUCUCAACACCGUUUGUUUGAUGGGGUAUAUCCCUGUUCCUUUCAAAGAGUUGCAUUGCUGUGUAUUUCUGGCUAACGCUGAUUUGGAAAAAUGCAGAUACAUGUUGCACUAUGUCCUCACAUAUGAACCUUGUGGUGGUUUUAUGAUUGCCACGGGUCUUUCUCUGGCUUUCAUGCUCGUUACGUUAAUUGGCAUUGGUGAGUUAUGUCAAACAAAAAUCUCCACACAACCUUCUCUUACAGUUACCGAAAGAUACUGAUGAUGUACCUUAAAUGAAAUUUGAUAGCGAGGGUAUACUUGGGCAUGCACAGCUUGACCGAUGUUAUCGCUGGGAUCUCGUUUGGCAUCGUGAUCCUUGCGUUCUGGUUGGUUGUCCAUGAUCAUGUUGAUGCCUUUGUCGUCUCUGGCCAAAACGGUAUGACCAUAUGGCUGAACAUCACUUUGACUCCAGCGAUAAAAAAUUGUGAUAUUCAAAGGUGAAGAAUAUUCUCAUAGUUGUUUUGUUCUGCAGUUACAUUCUUCUGGGCAAGCCUUUCUCUAGUACUCUGCUUUGCAUAUCCAAGGCCAGAGUUCCCAACUCCUAGCUUUGAGUUCCACACAGCAUUCAACGGGGUCGCUUUCGGAAUUGUAAGAACUCUGACCACUCUGUGUAUGACAUAUGGUUACUUAAUCCAAAGAUUGUAUUGCUUGUAAUAUUGUGUUAGAAUUCUGCUCACAUGAAGGAUGUUAUUGCUCCUUAUCUUGUACUCUUACUGAUUCUCAGCGGGAUUUGCUUGACCUUGUAAUAACACCUCUAGUUAUAUUUUAAUUUGUGAUGAAAAUUCAGGUACCAUUCAACAGAGAAUAGUCUUGACAAUUGAGUGUAUAUAGUUCACCCAAAAAGAAUUCUUGGAAUUAAAUCUAGCUCUAGUUUCUCCUAUCCUUUGCCCCUCCAGUUGUUGAUAAAUCAUGUUUACCCUUAUCUGACAAUGUUCUCUACCCUUACCGAUUCAGGUCUACGGCGUCCAGCAGACGUACACCCGCUUCCAUGGCCCGGAAGCCCCCCUCAUUCUCAGCCAUCAACUACCCCUCCUCGCGUAUGCCGGGAGGGUCCUGGUGGGCAUCCCGACCAUCCUGGCCGUGAAGUUGUGCAGCAAGGCGCUCUCGAAAUGGCUCCUGCCGGUGAUGUGCAGCACCCUGGGGAUCCCGAUUUUGUCGUCCUGCUACGUGCCCGCGCUGAAGCCAUCCGACAUUGGCGGUGGCUCGGGCAACAAGGACGAGGCCAAGCAGGCCGGUGGGUACCUCCAGAGAGUGUUCUCCCUCUUCCCGCAGAAGGCGUACGACGUGGACACGGGCAUCCGGUUCGUGCAGUACGCGGGGCUCGCGUGGUCGGUGGUCGACCUGGUGCCGGUGAUCUUCACGCAUCUGAACCUGUGAAGUCGAUCGAAUUAGCGAAUCUAAGGUUAGCGGCAUUUCGUUAAUUUCUUCGGAGGACAGCGGAUGAUCCCUCCUCCAUGUCUCGCAGGCUGUUGAUCCAUUGAUCUCGGCCUCAUUUUUGUGUUGUAUGUUUGUCUGUCUAGCACGUCCUCUACCGGGGUGUUUUCUUCCUGUACAGUUGUCCAAAGUAGCAACGAGGAAAGUAUACACGUGAUGACCUUGUGUUUUGUUUGAUGGGAACAGCUACUGACUGCCAUGUGCGCCAUUAGUGCUUAACUGAAUCCUCAGUCGACAUAUAUAACUGCAGAAAAGAUAGUAUGCUUCCUUACCGCCUCUCAUUCCUAUAUAUGGCUGGGUUUGUUAGUCCCUGGACUAGGUCAUUUUGGAGACUGAGCCUCAUGGAGGGCCUUUAUGUUGAAAAUUUCGAAUUUCAAAAUUCUUUAUUUCUAAAUAUUCUGAACAAACACACAUGUAUGCAAGGAUGUAAUGUGUAUGUGUGACGAAUUUCAGGAUGAAAUACCUUGAAUUGCGAGCUGCACAAAAAAAAUCAUGGCCUCAUAUUUGUCUUUUUUGUGUAGCUCUCAUUUUAACGUAUUUCGACCUGAAAAUUUGCACACAUGUACUACAUUAUGUAUCUAGGUAUAUGCACAUUUCUUUCAGAAUUUUUUGAAACUGAAAAGUUUGAAGUUUGAAGUUUUUAAAUUAAGGCCUCCAUGAAGCUCGGUCUCCGUUUGGCAUUUUCGCUGUAUUUUGGAUCAAACUUUGACCAUUGGUUAUAUACCACGAAAACCAUGGUGUUGGUUUUUUUUAAUUAUUAUUCUAAAUGAGUUCCUUGUGGUAACACUGUCGUUACAUGUAACUCCUAUUCCCUCUGUCCGGAGUAUAUCCAUUCCUCCGACAAGUAUUUUCGGACGGAGGGAUUGCACUAUGCACCAACAAACAUCCGAUCUUCAUCUCAACACUGAGUAGAAGGCGAGGCGGUUAGGACGAGCUCUGCGUUUGGGCCACUGGCCUGGCGCUUGCAGGGAUCAAGAGCGUGCCCGACAUCACCACUGGACACUGGCCGGUGGUUGCGAAUCGUCGAUGCCGGCUGACUAUUUGAACUAUGGCCGGCCGGUCGCCACACCCCGCACAACUUGUCUGAAAUUUCUAACGUGUUGUACAGUACAAGUCAAACUGGUUUUUCUUUUGUUGUUUCGUUUGUGUGAUUUGAUCUAAUUGGGAUUUUUUUUGGUGAUGUACUACAUUUUUCUCUCGGUAGCAGUUGAUCAGUGGUUGAUUGAAUUGGACUAUAGACAUAACAAAUUUGUUCACUCCGUAGCAAUUGCUUGCUCACUACUCCCUCUGUAAACUAAUAUAAGAGCGUUUAGAUUAGAUCAUUAAAGUAGUAAUCUAAACGCUCUUAUAUUAGUUUACGGAGGGAGUACAUAUUUGUUUUGUCGUCCGGCCCCCCAACCAUUUUUGCCUAGCUCCACCACUGCAAGAUACAAGUGAGACCUGUAAACCCUGACGGAGGAAGUAUGUCGUUGUUGUUACACUAUUUUAAAUAAAAAAAGAUAGCGGAUAGCGGAUAGCGGAGUCUAGUUAUUUUAUUAAUCUGAUGAUGAAAUAUGAAUGUGUGACUUUGACUUGAGCACAUUGACUGUGAAUCAUACUGCAUCUGACUGCCGUUGAGAAGUCGUGCUUUGCCAAGUGGAACGUGCUUGUGCCCGUACGCUACUAGUACGUGUCGACGAGCGCACUGCGGCCGUGAGUUUGAUGACGUCAGGGAGGGAGAAGCAAUUUUAUCUGACCGUGUCACCAUUGGUGCUGGGGAUGGAAAGCGACGGAGGGAGGACGAAGCCGUCGACAUGCCUGCCUCUGCCUGCACGACCAGCGUGCGUCAACACCUGUUGCCGACUGGGCCUGGCGAUGCUGCAUCGCUUUACACAACCUAUUGCAGAAUCUACUAUCUCCUAACCUUUGUACGCUAUGAUUUGUGGCUGCAAACAGCUCAAAUCUUAGGCCGCUCACCAACGUUGCUCGGAAACACAUUAUAUACUUUGCCUAAUUAUUAAGCAUGCCGCGCAAUGGUAUUUUUGAGUUCACACGCUGCCAUGAAAUAUUAAAACCAAUGCCGGGUACUCCCUCCGUUCUCAAAUAUAAGACCUUUUAGAGAUCUCAAUACAGACUACAUAUGACGCAAAAUGAGUGAAUUUACAUUUUAAAGUGCGCCUGUAUACAUCCGUAUGUAGGCCGUAUUGAAACCUCUAAAAGGUCUUAUGUUCAGAAACGAAGGGAGCAGUACGGGAAAUAUGCUCGUUCGAAGAAAGAAAAUGCUAGUACAACAACAACAACAACAACAACAACAACAACAACAAAGCUUUUAGUCCCAAACAAGUUGGGGUAGGCUAGAGGUGAAACCCAUAAGAUCUCGCAACCAACUCAUGCCUCUGGCACAUGGAUAGCAAGCUUCCACGCACCCCUGUCCAUAGCUAGCUCUUUGUCGAUACUCCAAUCCUUCAGGUCUCUCUUAACGGACUCCUCCCAUGUCAAAAUCGAUCGACCCCGCCCUCUCUUGACAUUCUCCGCACGCUUUAGCCGUCCGCUAUGCACUGGAGCUUCUGGAGGCCUGCGCUGAAUAUGCCCAAACCAUCUCAAACGAUGUUGGACAAGCUUCUCCUCAAUUGGUGCUACCCCAACUCUAUCUCGUAUAUCAUCAUUCCGGACUCGAUCCUUCCUCGUGUGGCCACACAUCCAUCUCAACAUACGCAUCUCCGCCACACCUAACUGUUGAACAUGCUAGUCUUAAGUGAAAAAUAUUUGGGAGCAUAACAAGGGUAAUGAUAAUGUACGCUCUUCUUGUGGAUAAUACCGCAUCUUUGCAUCAUUCGUAAACAAGAAAUAUAUCCACUAGCAGGACCAAACAUUCAUGCCACAAGGUAGGACACACCAUAAGUACACUGCUCAGCAUACUACAAGUACAGGUAUUCUAUACGGAAAGUCAAUACGGGUUCACAAGACCUAACAAGGGCUCUCAGCACGGGAUCAUACAACUACAGUGUUCAUCUCUACAACAAAUAAUCAUCAAAAGAAAAUAAAAAUUAGGCGAAGCGUGCGAACAUGGGGAAAAAAUGAAUACAGAGGGGGGAACGAAAUGAAAAAGGCUUCCUUUCACAAUACAAACCCUGCUUGAUGCUCAAGUUCGUUCACUACCACAGCAUCCACCAAGCAGAGCAUCAAAUCAAUUAGAGAGGUGAGUAACACAAUUGAUCCUUUCCUUCCAGCUGUAGGUAGGUAUACACUUUGGUCACGAUGCGGCGAAGCGGCUCGCAAGCAGCCAGGGGGCAUCAUGGGCGAAAAAAUUAACAAGAAUAGCACACGGGAGACUGACUUUCAGCAAAAAGAUUUGUCUGCGGCCAACAAACUUCAGCUAGUUAUCAAACCUUUGGUGCAGAGGUCGGCACCGAUUUCACAUCAUC
rnacentral:lncRNA from 1 species